CCCCUAGACGUUCUGGGCUGCACGCGCGCUACAAUAAUACGCACAGCGAGUAUCACCGAGCUCGAAAGGGCAAGGUAAACAAUAGAAAAGGUACUGUAAUGGUUAUAGAUCCUUGUAAUUAUUGAUCUUCAACGAGGAAUUCCUAGUAAGUAUGUGUCAUCAUCACGCACUGAUUACGUCCCUGCCCUUUGUACACACCGCCCGUCGCUCCUACCGAUUGGGUCAGCCGAUGAAACUCUCGGAUGUAGGCUAUUCAUAGCCCGCAGAAGAGAUUUGAAUCGUAGCGCUUAGAGGAAGGAGAAGUCGUAACA
rnacentral:rRNA from 1 species